GAUCAUGGCUCAGGACGAACGCUGGCGGCGCGCCUAACACAUGCAAGUCGAACGAGCGAGAGAGAGCUUGCUUUCUCAAGCGAGUGGCGAACGGGUGAGUAACGCGUGAGGAACCUGCCUCAAAGAGGGGGACAACAGUUGGAAACGACUGCUAAUACCGCAUAAGCCCACGACCCGGCAUCGGGUAGAGGGAAAAGGAGCAAUCCGCUUUGAGAUGGCCUCGCGUCCGAUUAGCUAGUUGGUGAGGUAAUGGCCCACCAAGGCGACGAUCGGUAGCCGGACUGAGAGGUUGAACGGCCACAUUGGGACUGAGACACGGCCCAGACUCCUACGGGAGGCAGCAGUGGGGAAUAUUGCACAAUGGGGGAAACCCUGAUGCAGCGACGCCGCGUGGAGGAAGAAGGUCUUCGGAUUGUAAACUCCUGUUGUUGAGGAAGAUAAUGACGGUACUCAACAAGGAAGUGACGGCUAACUACGUG
rnacentral:rRNA from 1 species